rnacentral:rRNA from 1 species
AUUGAACGCUGGCGGCAGGCCUAACACAUGCAAGUCGAGCGGUAACACAGGGAGCUUGCUCCCGGGUGACGAGCGGCGGACGGGUGAGUAAUGUCUGGGAAACUGCCUGAUGGAGGGGGAUAACUACUGGAAACGGUAGCUAAUACCGCAUAACGUCGCAAGACCAAAGAGGGGGACCUUCGGGCCUCUUGCCAUCAGAUGUGCCCAGAUGGGAUUAGCUAGUAGGUGGGGUAAUGGCUCACCUAGGCGACGAUCCCUAGCUGGUCUGAGAGGAUGACCAGCCACACUGGAACUGAGACACGGUCCAGACUCCUACGGGAGGCAGCAGUGGGGAAUAUUGCACAAUGGGCGCAAGCCUGAUGCAGCCAUGCCGCGUGUAUGAAGAAGGCCUUCGGGUUGUAAAGUACUUUCAGCGGGGAGGAAGGUGUUGAGGUUAAUAACCUUAGCAAUUGACGUUACCCGCAGAAGAAGCACCGGCUAACUCCGUGCCAGCAGCCGCAGUAACAC